rnacentral:rRNA from 1 species
AGAGUUUGAUCCUGGCUCAGGAUGAACGCUAGCUACAGGCUUAACACAUGCAAGUCGAGGGGCAGCAUUCCAGUUUGCUUGCAAACUGGAGAUGGCGACCGGCGCACGGGUGAGUAACACGUAUCCAACCUGCCGAUAACUCGGGGAUAGCCUUUCGAAAGAAAGAUUAAUACCCGAUGGCAUAAUAGAACCGCAUGGUUUGAUUAUUAAAGAAUUUCGGUUAUCGAUGGGGAUGCGUUCCAUUAGGCAGUUGGUGGGGUAACGGCCCACCAAACCUUCGAUGGAUAGGGGUUCUGAGAGGAAGGUCCCCCACAUUGGAACUGAGACACGGUCCAAACUCCUACGGGAGGCAGCAGUGAGGAAUAUUGGUCAAUGGACGAGAGUCUGAACCAGCCAAGUAGCGUGAAGGAUGACUGCCCUAUGGGUUGUAAACUUCUUUUAUAAAGGAAUAAAGUCGGGUAUGUAUACCCGUUUGCAUGUACUUUAUGAAUAAGGAUCGGCUAACUCCGUGCCAGCAGCCGCGGUAAUACGGAGGAUCCGAGCGUUAUCCGGAUUUAUUGGGUUUAAAGGGAGCGUAGGUGGACAGUUAAGUCAGUUGUGAAAGUUUGCGGCUCAACCGUAAAAUUGCAGUUGAUACUGGCUGUCUUGAGUACAGUAGAGGUGGGCGGAAUUCGUGGUGUAGCGGUGAAAUGCUUAGAUAUCACGAAGAACUCCGAUUGCGAAGGCAGCUCACUGGACUGCAACUGACACUGAUGCUCGAAAGUGUGGGUAUCAAACAGGAUUAGAUACCCUGGUAGUCCACACAGUAAACGAUGAAUACUCGCUGUUUGCGAUAUACAGUAAGCGGCCAAGCGAAAGCAUUAAGUAUUCCACCUGGGGAGUACGCCGGCAACGGUGAAACUCAAAGGAAUUGACGGGGGCCCGCACAAGCGGAGGAACAUGUGGUUUAA